rnacentral:rRNA from 1 species
UACGAAGGGGGCUAGCGUUGCUCGGAAUCACUGGGCGUAAAGCGCACGUAGGCGGGUCGUUUAGUCGGGGGUGAAAUCCUGGAGCUCAACUCCAGAACUGCCUUCGAUACUGGCGAUCUUGAGUCUGGGAGAGGUGAGUGGAACUCCGAGUGUAGAGGUGAAAUUCGUAGAUAUUCGGAAGAACACCAGUGGCGAAGGCGGCUCACUGGCCCGGUACUGACGCUGAGGUGCGAAAGCGUGGGGAGCAAACAGG